rnacentral:rRNA from 1 species
ACGAGCGGCGGAAGGGUGAGUCACGCGUAGGAAUUGCCUAGUAGUCGGGGGAAAACUGUCGGAUACGCAUGCUAACCCGCAUACGCCCUACGGGGGAAUGGUGGGGAUCCCUCGGACUCCUCGUCUUAGAUGAGCCUGCGUGAGAUUAGCUAGUUGGUGGGGUAAAGGCCUACAAGGCGACGAUCUUAGCUGGUCUGAGAGGAUGAUCAGCCACAUGGGAUGAGACACGGCCAGAUCCUACGGGAGGCAGCAGUGGGGAACUUGGACAUGGGCGCAAGCUCGACCCAGCCACGCCGCGUGUGUGAAGAAGGCCUUAGGGUUGUAAAGCACCCUCAGGAGUGAGGAAGGGCGUGCCGUUAAUACCGGUUGUCUUCGACGUUAACUCCAGAAGAAGCACCGGCUAACUCUGUGCCAGCAGCCGCGGUAAUACAGAGGGUGCGAGCGUUUAAUCGGAAUUACUGGGGCGUAAAGCGCGCGUAGGCGGUUUUGUUAAGUCGGAUGUGAAAUCCCAGGGCUUCAACCUUUGGAAUGGCACCCGAUACUGGCAGGCUAGAGUACGGUAGAGGGGUGUGGAAUUCUCCUGUGUAGCGGUGAAAUGCGUAGAUAUAGGAAGGAACAUCAGUGGCGAAGGCGACACCCUGGACCGAUACUGACGCUGAGGUGCGAAAGCGUG